rnacentral:lncRNA from 1 species
AAGAAUGAGCUGUCUGAUGGGGAGGAGACCGGGCUUCAGCCUCAUAGGGUUGUGUUCACCUGAAUACACCGGGCUAUCUGAAGUGCCAGUGGGACAGAGCUGGGCAACGGAGCUGAAGGAUUUCCCAGGGCUGCACAGAAAGCCAGCCUUCAUCAGAAAAGAGCCUACAAAUCCUGAAGACACCAAGUAAAAUGUAUGCAAAAGCCCCAAGUGAUGGACGGACAAAAGUUGCAGGAAUGCCAACCACUAAAGCAGGCACCAGAUGAGACUGCCCUGAGUCCCAUCCAACCUGGC